rnacentral:rRNA from 1 species
CAGUCGCCGCGGUAAUACGAAGGGGGCUAGCGUUGUUCGGAAUCACUGGGCGUAAAGCGCACGUAGGCGGACUUUUAAGUCAGGGGUGAAAUCCCAAGGCUCAACCUUGGAACUGCCUUUGAUACUGGAAGUCUUGAGUUCGGGAGAGGUGAGUGGAACUGCGAGUGUAGAGGUGAAAUUCGUAGAUAUUCGCAAGAACACCAGUGGCGAAGGCGGCUCACUGGCCCGAUACUGACGCUGAGGUGCGAAAGCGUGGGGAGCAAACAGGAUUAGAUACCCCAGUAGUCCCUGUCUCUUAUAA